CCGGCACGGGUGAGUAACGCGUAUGCAACUUGCCUAUCAGAGGGGGAUAACCCGGCGAAAGUCGGACUAAUACCGCAUGAAGCAGGGGCCCCGCAUGGGGAUAUUUGCUAAAGAUUCAUCGCUGAUAGAUAGGCAUGCGUUCCAUUAGGCAGUUGGCGGGGUAACGGCCCACCAAACCGACGAUGGAUAGGGGUUCUGAGAGGAAGGUCCCCCACAUUGGAACUGAGACACGGUCCAA
rnacentral:rRNA from 1 species